CCUACGGGGGGCAGCAGUCGAGAAUCAUUCACAAUGGGGGAAACCCUGAUGGUGCGACGCCGCGUGGGGGAAUGAAGGUCUUCGGAUUGUAAACCCCUGUCAUGUGGGAGCAAAUGAAAAAGAUAGUACCACAAGAGGAAGAUACGGCUAACUCGGUGCCAGCAGCCGCGGUACUACAGAGGUGUCAAGCGUUGUUCGGAAUCAGUGGGCUUAAAGGGUGCGUAGGCUGUUUCGUAAGUCGGGUGUGAAAGGCGCGGGCUCAACCCGCGAACGGCACAUGAUACUGCGAGACUAGAGUAAUGGAGGGGGAACCGGAAUUCUCGGUGUAGCAGUGAAAUGCGUAGAUAUC
rnacentral:rRNA from 1 species